rnacentral:tRNA from 1 species
AGCUGUUUAGCUAUAAUCUAAGUAAGCGGCUUGAAACCGCUUGAAAGUCUAACUAGCAGCUU